rnacentral:rRNA from 1 species
GACGAACGCUGGCGGCGUGCUUAACACAUGCAAGUCGAACGGUGACGGAGAGCUUGCUCUCCUGAUCAGUGGCGAACGGGUGAGUAACACGUGGGCAAUCUGCCCCUGACUUCGGGAUAACGCUUCGAAAGAGGUGCUAAUACCGAAUACGAAUCCUGCAGGCAUCUGCGGGAUUGGAAAGUUUUUCGGUCAGGGAUGAGCCCGCGGCCUAUCAGCUAGUUGGUGAGGUAAUGGCUCACCAAGGCGACGACGGGUAGCCGGCCUGAGAGGGCGACCGGCCACACUGGGACUGAGACACGGCCCAGACUCCUACGGGAGGCAGCAGUGGGGAAUAUUGCGCAAUGGGCGAAAGCCUGACGCAGCAACGCCGCGUGAGGGAUGACGGUCUUCGGGUUGUAAACCUCUUUCAGCAGGGAAGAAGCGAAAGUGACGGUACCUGCAGAAGAAGCACCGGCUAACUACGUG